rnacentral:rRNA from 1 species
UGGGGAAUCUUGCACAAUGGGGGAAACCCUGAUGCAGCGACGCCGCGUGAGCGAUGAAGCCCUUCGGGGUGUAAAGCUCUUUCGACAGGAACGAUAAUGACGGUACCUGGAGAAGAAGCUGCGGCUAACUACGUGCCAGCAGCCGCGGUAAUACGUAGGCAGCAAGCGUUGUUCGGAGUUACUGGGCGUAAAGAGUAUGUAGGCGGUUAUCCAAGUCUGGUGUGAAAUCUCCCGGCUUAACUGGGAGGGUGCGCCGGAAACUGGAUGACUUGAGCGUGGGAGAGGAAAGCGGAAUUCCUGGUGUAGCGGUGAAAUGCGUAGAUAUCAGGAGGAACACCGGCGGUGUAGACGGCUUUCUGGACCAUGGCUGACGCUGAGAUACGAAAGCGUGGGUAGCAAACAGG